CGCAGCCUGUAAUUUCCUGGUCGUAUGUAACUGGGUGGGGAAGCGCCUGAUCCUUGGGAUGCCAAAUACACAGAUGCUUGGAUCCUCCUCUUUCUCAUUUUCUUGGCCACCUCGGGGAAGUCCUGCCUGUCAUCCAAGCUUGAACCCUCUGCUCCAGAGCAUGCUCAGCACUCUGGUCCCGUGUGAAGACACCAGGGGCUGACACAGGUUCUUUAGCAGCAGCACCCCAGUGAAUCACUGCUAUGGAAACAGCCAGGAAUUCUGUGUAUGACAUCUGGAGAGCUUCCAAAGAGGAAAGACACCCACUGUCUGUUUGGCAAAUGACUUCACAGAAAAGGAUUACUGAAUGCAGACCAUGUAUUGGUCUCAGCCUGAGGUCAAGCUGAGCUGUUACUUCACUGGAGAACAUGACAAGAUGUUCUCAUGGCUUAAGGUUUUCUGGCUCAAGGAGAUCUUGCCUCUGAGGAUGGUAAAAUAAAAUUUAAGGGCUUCCCUACCUCA